UCAGUAGCAAUCCAAGUCUACGGGGUUCAUGAUUUAAGUGAUUACGCUUCCACUCAGUGGGCUAGUUACUUGGAUUGUGAGAUCAUCAUUGACUAUUCGGAUGGAUUGCAGUCAAGGAAACCAUAUGACGAAUGAUGUGCUCUUGCCACCACAGGUGACGGAAUCUUUAGAGUGGUGUUGUUGCAAGCGUCUCGCCUUGUAUGUGAGAGAUUCCACUGCGUGUUGGGCGAUCUUACCACCACAAGUGUGACCCUGAUGACGUCGAAUCUUUCCCCAGUUUAUGUUUUUCUACAGUUACU